rnacentral:lncRNA from 1 species
AAUCUAGAAUGAAACCUUUCAUGUUCAACAUAUUCUCUUCUAAGUAUCUUUGGCAACAAGAGAUGCAGAAUUACUGAGGAGUUCUGCUCUGAAUGCUUCAACUUCCCGGUCAUCAGCCUGUGAAAGAAGGCUGCAAGUGCUGGUGCAAUGGAAAUAAGUGUGAGGGGAACAUUUCUUCUGAAGGUAGAGGCCCAAGUCCAGAAGGGACAGUGAGCUCAGGUGGGCUUAUGGUAACUCAGAAACUGCACCCUCCAUCACAGACAUGCUAGCUAAGUUGCUCAUCUGUGAUGUCUUGGCAACUCAAUUGCAUUAUUUCUUCACAUCUGCCUCUUACCUGUCAGUUGUCUGCUGGGUUGGUCUUUUCUUUCGCUGCCUCUCUACCUUUGUAGUCUAUGUUACUGAAUGCUCCAGGCAAGAUUCUUCUUAGGCCUCGUGA